GGAAAAACAACAUUUGUGAAAAGGCAUCUCACAGGGGAGUUCGAAAAGAAAUACGAACCAACCAUUGGUGUGGAGGUGCACCCAUUGGACUUCUUCACUAACUGUGGAAAAAUUAGAUUUUACUGUUGGGACACUGCUGGGCAGGAGAAAUUUGGUGGUUUACGUGAUGGCUACUACAUCCAUGGGCAAUGUGCAAUCAUCAUGUUUGAUGUUACU
rnacentral:misc_RNA from 1 species